rnacentral:lncRNA from 1 species
AGGAAGUGAAUUCUCGAAACUCGAGGAUUAGACUUCGACCAGAAUCGACUAGUUGUCGAGUGCGUAGGCUUCGGAAAGUCCGAAGGUGUUAUAAUGCAUAAAGUGCAUUAAGGAAGGGUCCGCGAGAGUACCAAGUGCAAAACUUGCACUGGAGCAGAAAUGCUCUCGGGGACCGGUCCCUGGCAGGGAGGGACCGGUUCCAUCAGGCUGGGUUGCGGAGGUCUCUGAUGAGACCGGUCCUUGGUGGGCAGGGACCGGUUCCCGAACGUUGGCCUGGCGAGACUUAGCCAAAUUUGGCUAAGUCCCGAGAGUGCAGCUCUCGGGAACCGGUCUCUCGGACAAGGACCGGUCUCCCGGGGACCGGUCUCUCAGGCAAGGACCGGUUCCCGAACGCGAAAAUCCCUCUGCUCGAAAUGGCAGCCUUCGGGGACCGGUCUUCCCGAACUGGGACCGGUCCCUCGCUGCGAAAAUGCCCAGAGAGGGCUGAAUCAGAAGAUGAAAAGUUGAGGGGGCUAGCUGCAAAAUGACCUUUAAUAGGGCUUGGGGACCCCUCUCUCACCCUCAGUUGCUCUCUCUCUCUCUCUCUCACUCUUUCCCUUUCUCUCUCUAGGAAAGAAAAGAAAAGAAAGAGAAGAAGGAGAAGAAGAAGAAGAGAAAGGAGAAGAAGGGAGGAAAGAAGAAGAAAGAGAAGGAGAAGACUAAGAAGAAGAAAAAGACAUCUUCUUCUCUCCCUCUCCUUCAAGCUUGAAGAAGUCUUGAAGAGAGGUAAGCUCUAAACCCUUUAAUGGUGUUUCUAGGGUUUUGGAUUUUUAGGGUUUAGAAUUGGUUCAAAUGGAACCUAUUAGGGAUAAAUAGAAGGUUCGAGCUCACAAUCGAAGCUCGCACCGCGGAUUUCCUUCCCGUUGCCAUUCUAGGGCACGGAUUGGGGUUUUGGGAAAUUUAGGGUUUUGAUCUAUUUUAAUAGGUCGUAAACCUAAUUGCUAGGUCUCGGAACGCGUCGGCGAAGACGGUUUGCCGAUCCGACGAGCGGGUGCGGAGUUAUCGCCGAAUCGGGUACUCGAGGGCUCGCUUUGCCCCGAGGAGUUCAAGCGGCGUGCAAGAAUCGCAACGUCGAGCUUUCUACUAUCGCGGCAUCGCCAAGAGGUGGGUGGUGUCCAUCCCGAAGCAAUCGGGCUCCCUCCUAUGUCUUAGAAUAUUUCGAUCCUGCAUCUUGUAUUAUUGCAUUAUAGGAUUAGUAUGUAUUGCCUUCCUUAUGCCUCCCUUGAUAAUACCGUAGCAUGUAUUGGAUGUAGAGGAUUGGUGAGGAUUGGGUCGAGUUUUGUGAAUCCUAUAAUGUAGAGAAAAUGAUGAAUAAUGAACGAGUGGCAUCUAGUUGAUAAUAAACAAAUGAACGAGUGGCAUUUAGUUGAUAGUAAGCAAAAGAACAAAUGACACAUGUGAGUCAUAGUGUAUAUGAAACCUAUGGACUAUAUGAUGAUUGUAACACUAGAGGACAGGGUAUCCUCGAGCUUAGAGGAUUUGAUCAUGCUCACGGUCUGUUAAAUCUUGUGAUGGAAGCCCCACACAAGUAGUGCGCUCCGGAUGUUGGUCACGCCAGGGAUUGCCUAUAUGGCCCCGCCAGACGGUCUCGGGUCCGUAGUGUGAGUUGAUUCUCCCUACGUGUCGAGAUGGCUAGUGAGCUGUAGGCGAGCCUUCGGGUAAGCCAUGAGAUUAAUGGACAAGUAAAUGAGGUUACUGAACGAGUGAAUAGCUUUGCCUUUGGACAUGAUAAUGGGUUAGUUGUUUAUCCAUUUCCUUGUACAUGCAUUCAUAUAUUAUGAUUCGGCAUAGUAGCGUAGCUUCAUUUCCAUCAUUUACAGCUUUCCCUUUUUAUCUAUCUAUCUAUUGGUAUAUCUACUGGUGCCCGCUUGGACCUAGUGGGGAGAUCGGCGGAGUCGGCGGCCGAACCCACUGGGAACUAAGGAAGUUAGUUCUCAACCCCAUUUUCACCACAGGUUCCAGUUCGGGUAUCCCCGGUGAGCGCGAGGAUCGCGGUAAGGGCCCGGCGUUCUAGUCGCAUUAGCUACCUCCCGUUGGUAUUAGCCAUCACCCUUUUUGUAUUUGAGAGUAGAUGUUGUGUAGGGUGAGGUGGAGUGAUUGUAUUUAUAUUUUGGAAGAAUGUAAAGGAUGUAAUUAAACAUGUAUAUAUUAUGUCGAAUGAAUGGAAUAGAUAGACCUUCUCUCUUAUGUACUUGUAUAUGUUUCUAUACU